rnacentral:rRNA from 1 species
CACGUGAGCAACCUACCGAACUGUGGGGGAUAGCCGGCCUAACGGCCGAGUAAUACCGCAUACGCUUUCAGUGAGGCAUUUCAUUGAAAGGAAACCUACGGGACAGAUCGAGGGGCUCGCGGCCUAUCAGCUAGUUGGCGAGGUAACGGCUCACCAAGGCAACGACGGGUAGCUGGUCUGAGAGGAUGAUCAGCCGCACUGGAACUGAGACACGGUCCAG